AUCCCAGUGAUUUUCCAGCCAUCACAAAACCAUGUUAGGCAAGUUUUAGAAAGAGCUGCAAAUUUGCAUAUCUUAAUCGUAUGUGAUUUCUUCUCGUUAAACUGUUAAAUACGCAUUUAAACGAAUGCAUGACAGUUGCUGUUGUCCUAUAUAUCUCGUGAUACAUAGAGGAUCUGUUGGAGUGUCAAGCUAAGAAAAUGAAUCCAAGCCGUCCAUAUCAAGCAGAGAUCCAAUGGCUAGUUUUGUUUUAUUUGUUAUGGGGGACAUAGCUAUAAUUUUACCUGUCAAUUACUUGUAAAUACAAAACAUAGCAGCAGAUGGGCGGGACUUGAAUUUUUCUGUUGGCAGCUUCAAGAAACAGGGGAGAGAAUCCUGCAGAGCAGAUUUGAGCUUGCAGCGCAGGAGCCGAGACUUUUUCCUGCAGAACUGCGAGUCUUCACCAGCUACGAGGGCACCUGCAGACGAGGGUUCUUCAGCCGCGAGAGAAAGCACCUACAGCCGUUGUUUUCUUCAGCUGCGCGGGAGAGCGAGGGUCGCACGAGAGAAGGGGACACGGCAGGAGGGCGUUUGGCGUUGGGGAUUUCCAGCGGAGGUGCACGCUCGGGUAAAGGCAAGCCCCAUUCUAGCAUAUCAUUAUCAGAAGGGUCAAUCGAUCAAUAAGUGAUAUAUACAAUUUGUGGGCUUUACUCUCACAGCACCAGACUAAUCUCAGGCAUACGUCAGUCGUGCCCUCGACUAACACGUAGGAGGUAAAUCGCAGAUGUGCACUAUAAGCAGUAAGGUUCGAACCCUAGACUCCAGCUCUCUUUCAAGGUUGUCUGACGUAAGUCCUCACUACCUGAACUUGUGCCCAAGAUUCUUAAUUAAUUAUUCAAUUAGAGGCCACUUGAUUCGAAGAAUUUUAAAAUGUUUACAUGAAGGGACAUUUACAAAAAUCUAACUUCUAGAAAUAGAAUGACUACUUUAUCAAAGUAUUUUUAUU